rnacentral:rRNA from 1 species
ACUCCUACGGGAGGCAGCAGUGGGGAAUAUUGCACAAUGGGGGAAACCCCUGAUGCAGCCAUGCCGCGUGUGUGAAGAAGGCCUUCGGGUUGUAAAGCACUUUCAGUAGGGAGGAAGGUAGUGUAGUUAACACCUGCAUUAUUUGACGUUACCUACAGAAGAAGCACCGGCUAACUCCGUGCCAGCAGCCGCGGUAAUACGGAGGGUGCGAGCGUUAAUCGGAAUUACUGGGCGUAAAGCGCAUGCAGGCGGCCUGUUAAGUCAGAUGUGAAAGCCCGGGGCUUAACCUCGGAAUUGCAUUUGAAACUGGCAGGCUAGAGUCUUGUAGAGGGGGGUAGAAUUU